rnacentral:rRNA from 1 species
CAAUUAGAAGUAAAAGUCGUAACAAGGUCUCCGUUGGUGAACCAGCGGAGGGAUCAUUGCUGGAACUUGUGGCACCCCUCAAAGGGCAACAACCCCAGAUACCCCUAUGUGAACUUAUACCUUUUUAAAAUCGUUGCCUCGGCGCCGAGCCCGGGGGAGACGGGAUAUAGAAAUAUCUUUUCUUUUCCCGCUCCCCUCCCUUCACCACCCGUGCAAACGGUGUGUUGGUGGGAGCAGGCCCGCCGGCGGCCCGUUAAACUCUUGUUUUUAAAAAAACGUAUCUCUUCUGAGUAAUUAAACAAAAAAAAUGAAUCAAAACUUUCAACAACGGAUCUCUUGGUUCUGGCAUCGAUGAAGAACGCAGCGAAAUGCGAUAAGUAAUGUGAAUUGCAGAAUUCAGUGAAUCAUCGAAUCUUUGAACGCACAUUGCGCCCGCUGGAAUUCCAGCGGGCAUGCCUGUUCGAGCGUCAUUUCAACCCUCAAGCUUGGCUUGGUGUUGGGGUACUACCCGUAAAACGGUAGGCCCUGAAAUUUAGUGGCGGGCUCGCUAAGACUCUGAGCGUAGUAGUGUUUUUUUCUCAACCUCGCUUUGGAAGGAUUAGCGGUUGCUCUUGCCGUAAAACCCCCCCCUUAUUAUUUUGAAAAUUUGACCUCGGAUCAGGUAGGAAUACCCGCUGAACUUAAGCAUAUCAAUAAGCCGGGAGGAA